CCCUCGCCUGGAGGCUUGGACGCUCGCCCCGCCGCCCUGUGACUCCGCUCAGCCCGCCGCCGACGUCGUGCCCUCGCCUGGAGGCCUGGACACUCGCCCCGCCGCCCUGUGACGCAGCUCAGCAUGUCGUCGCGUCCCUCCGGGCUCCCGGCGGCCUCCAACCCGCGCCCCUCCCUCCGGGCUGCUCCGGCCGGCGUCGAGGACGGUGCCUCCCUCCAAGCUGUUGCCGGCCUCCAGAGGAGAAAAGAGCAGCACCACAUGAACACCCGGCGGUCGGCCGCCCUCUGGUACCCUGCACCGUACGUCACCUGGUACACACUCAUCCCUUCAUUAAUUUGCAUCCUACUAAACCCUAGAAUCAGUAAGCCGUAAUUUGGUUCUCUAUGAUUGUCGUAUGAUACAGUUAGUAGUUGAUAAUUGUUGUUUAAUCUGGAUGUAAGUUUAACAUAGUUGUUUAAACCAAGAUUCUGCCAAAAACAUGCUGGUCGCGCUCCUACUUCAACUGAUGAUAUGACAGUACUGUCCUUUGCUGAUUGCGAGCUUGCUGAAUUUGAGUAUCAAUUUGUUGAUGUCGACUGGGAUGAGCUUCUUGAACUCAAAAAGGAUCUCAAAGGCGCCAUGCAGUCCUCCCCACCGCACGUGGUGAUUGACUCGCCGUCCGAGCGCGCAGCAAGGGUAGGUUGCCUUCCUCUCCUUCCUAUUCCGUACACCUAAUACUCACAAUGCAGAGACCUGCACCUAAGACACACCAACUCACUCUAGAAUCGGUUAACUUUUCCAAUUUCUAGCUACUUAGUGUAUAGAGUCCUUUCGACGGCAUAGUCGCCUUCUCACUUCCGGGUGGCAGAGCCUACCAACAGAAGAAGCCCAUACCCUUUGUGAUCCCGGUGGUAGAGCCAGCCUACAAUAGAUCACAACUUAUACAUUAAGUACUUAGAGACUGACACUUACAAGGGAACUCAAACUUUUAUUCACAACUCAACUUGACAACACAAGAUGACACUUACACUCUUUAUGUAGCUAUCCUACCAUAACACCACUACACUACAUGACUACCUUGCCAUCUCCUACUUGAGAUCUCUUAUGCCAUGGUAUGGCAAGGGAAGGGGGACACCCCUAUUUAUAGGACUCCAUGAUUCAUAUGGUGUUACUAUGUGUCCACCUUCUACACUCUUCUGCAUUUCUAUAGUUUUCUCCAUCUUUAUCCUAUCAUACAAAUAUCUUUCCUCUAGAGAAUUCUAUAUUUCACCAUGAAGCAUGAUAACUAUUACCCAUACUUGCCUCCACUCUUUCUUACCUUAGCAUGAUCUUAUCCUCAUGCAUUGCAAAGUUAGUUUCUUGUGAUUUCCACAAACUUCUAGAAUGUUCCAAGUAUGGGUUGCAUAUUUCAGCACUCCCCCUCAAUGCAUACUUGUCACUGGUGAUCAAACCACUGCGCACCGCCCCUUGCAUCUUCUGUGCUAUGCCGUUUCGAACCUUCUUCUUCUCUUGUCCUGGUGAUAUGAUCGAUCUUCCGUUGACUCGUACUUCUCAACCUUUAGUUGGAGCUUCCCUAUAUACUUCGUGCAAAUAUGCAUCUCCUUUUUCUUCUUUACUCUUCUAGUUGUUUGCCCUCUAAAUAAUUCCUUGUAUGAAGGCAAAAUUACCUGAGUUCGUGACGUAUUGGCAUACCUAAGAUCUUUGCAACUAUAUCUUUCCCGAAGCUUCUUCACAUCAUCUCAUGUUUUCAAAUCUUCAUGGAUCACCAAUGCUCCCUCUCUGUCUCCCACAUACUCUUGUGGCUCAUCUUCAUGAAGACUAGACUCUAUUUUCAUAUCUCUAGUAUCUUCCUCCUUGUCGCUUAGAGUCUCUCAAUCUUCAUCAUCACAUUCAAAUACUAUAAAUAUAGUAGAAGUACUUUUUGGUGAAACUUUGUGGCAUGGUAGUACUUUUUCUCCUCCAGAUUUUUUACAGCUCCAAUGACCUUCAUUAGAUCUUGUUUUUGGUAGCUUUUUGGAGCGCCCAUGUGGGCUGUUAGAUCACAGGAGAUGUAUGCUUACGUGCAUUAACUAAUUGUAGUCUUUUUUAAGUUGGAGUUUUCUCCUACCUACGGAGGAAUGUAAUGUCCAUUGUAUCAUGUUGGCUUGCAUGUUGUAUUAUGUGUAUACAAAUGGAUAAUGCUAUUGCUUCCGAUCAUGGAAGUUUCAUGGAAACAUCAUGUUUGUGUUUUCUGAUUAGUACACUGGAAGUAUUUAAUUGAGAAAUUGAGGGGUUUUUUACAUUGUUUCUUCUAAUUUAAUGCAUUGAGAAAAAAAUAACACUUGAAAGAAGACUACAGACGCAGAAAAGUGUAUCCAUUUUUAGUUCUUUCUGGGGUUAUAGAAAAAAAAAGUGCCGCUGCAGGAGCGCAGAUGCUUGUAUGGUAUGGAAUCAAAAGCCACUUUGGCUGUUCUCUUCUUUUUCCUCCUGGAGACGAGGCAGACAGCAACACAACAUGCUUUGGUUUUUGCUGUAAUUUUGUUGAGUAACUGACAGUGCUGCAGAGAACAACAGAGCAGGUGAAUAAGCAUAGCACUCCGAAACAGCGUCACGUGUUCGACUUGUCGAAUGUCGAGCGUACCAAUGAUAUGGCAGCACUUGUCAGAGGAAAUGCUAGUUGCGAUAUUAUAAGCUCUGAACACCAUCCACACACAAGCUACUGAAUUGCGAACUUCAAUCGAAUUUCGCAGUUGUAUAUUGUCUAACUGAGCGCUGCUACUACUGUAUCUUUUGCAAGCGACCGAUUCAUCUGAAAAAAAAUGAAUAAGAAAAAAAGAAAAUGUCUAA